rnacentral:tRNA from 1 species
GAGGGUAUAGCUCAGUGGUAGGGUGCAUGCUUAGCAUGUACAAGCUGUCCUGGGUUAAAUUCCUAGUACUUCCU